GACGUCAUCUGCAGGCCCUGGAGACGCGACUGCAGUUACCGAGUUUCUAAGGCCUCGUCCCCUGACGGGAAGGCGGCGUUGGGGGGCGGCUGGGUUUACCCUUCGAGAGACGGGGCUUCGCCAUCUUUCCCAGGCUGGUCUCAAACUCCUGAGCUCAAGUGACCCUCCUGCCUUGGCCUCCCAGAGUGCUGGGAUUACAGGCAUGAGCAAUGGUGCCUGGCCCAAAAUUCAUACAUUAGCAAAAGUAGGGAGAAUAAAGUAAUGAACACUCAUUUUCCACCUUCAGCAAUAUCAACGUGGAUCAAUCUUGUUUCAUCUAUACCCCAGAUUAUUUUGGGGCAAACUAUAAAUAUAGUUAUACUAUAACUAUCCAUAUCUUAUUAUGUACUUUAGAAGGUGAAGCUCUUAAAAUACAGACAUAAAUGAAAUCUAACUGGCAUACUGUGGUAAGCCGAAUUCUAAGAUGGCCUCUAAGAUUCCUGGCCCCUGGUACACACAUACCUUUUCCCAGUUAGUUAAUCAAACAUGAAUUUGGGUGCUGCUACAAAGGGAUUUUGGUAAUUAAGUUCCCAGAUCAGUUGUUUUUACGCUGAAGAUAUUAUCCUCCAUGGGCCUGACCCAAUCAGAUGAGUCCUUAAGUAGGAUAGGGCUUUUCCUGGCAAAAGAUAUUAAAAAUGUGAGAAGCAUUCAAUAGGAGGAAGGUUCUCCAGGAUGGAAGGGGAUACUUAGCAAGGACCUAAGAGUGGCCUCUUGGAGCUAAGAGUAACCCCCAGCCAACAGCAAGAAAAUGAGCAGCUCAGUCCUACAACCAGAAGUAACUGAAUUCUGCCAAAAACCUGAAUGAGCCUGGAAGGAGCUCCUGAGCUCUGAUGAGAACCCAGCUGUCUGCUACCUUCAUUGCAGCCUUGUGAGACUUUUUUUUUCUGAGACAGGGUCUCGCUCUGUUGCCCAGGCUGGAGUGCAGUGGCACGAUGUCAGCUCAUUGCAGCCUCUGGCUCCCAGGUUCAAGUGAUUCUCCUGCCUCAGUCUCCCGAGUAGCUGGGAUUACAGGCGCCUGUCACCACACCCGGCUAAUUUUGUAUUUUUAGUAGAGAUGGGGUUUCACCACGUUGGCCAGGAUGGUCUCGAACUCCUGAUCUCAAGCGAUCUGCCCACCUCAGCCUCCCAAAGUGCUGGGAUUACAGGCGUGAACCACUGCACCCAGCCUACUUUUUUUUUUUUUUUGAGAUAGGCUCUCUCUGUUGCCCAGGCUGGAAUGCAGUGGCACAAUCAUAACUCACUGCAGCCUUGACCUCCUGGGCUCAAGUGAUCCUCCUAUCUCAGUCUUCCGAGUAGCUGCGACUACAGGUCUGUAGCACCAUGCCUGGCUAGUUAUUUUUUGUAGAGGCAAGCUCUCACUAUGUUGCCCAGGCUAGUCUUAAAUUCCUCGCCUCGAAUGAGCCUCCCACCACAGCCUCCCAAAAUGCUGGGAUUACAGGCCUGAGCCACCAUCCUGGCCCCUUGUGAGAUUUCUGGGCUAGAGAACCCAGCCUCUGUAUGCCUUAUCAUCUGACCUACAGGACUGCAAGAUGUUUAAUGUCUGUUGUUUGAAACUGUUGAAUUUGCAGUAAUUUGUUAUGCAGCAAUAGAAAACUAAUAUACAUACUGAAAAGUUGGUAGUAAUUCCUCUCAGUGACCAAGUUUUUGUGGGAAAGUUUUUAACUACAAAUUCAAUUUUUUAAGGAGUUCUGCUUCCAGUAUGGUAGUGUAAACCCUUUCAGAUAAUUCUCCCACUGAUUAAAAAACAAUAACAGGGCUGGGCGUGGUAGCUCAUGCCUGUAAUUCCAGCACUUUGGGAGGCCAAGGCAGGCAGAUCACUUGAGGCCAGGAGUUCGAGACCAGCCUGCACAACAUGACAAAACCCCAUCUGUACUAAAAAUACAAAAAUCAGCUGGGUUUGAUGGUACACACCUGUACUCCUAGCGACUUGGGAGGCUGAGGUGGGAGGAUUGGUUGAAUCCAAGAGCCAGAGAUUGCAAUGAGCCGAGAUCAUGCCAUCACACUCCAAUCUGGGUAACACAGUGAGACUCUUCCUCAAGAAAGAAAAAAA
rnacentral:lncRNA from 1 species